rnacentral:other from 1 species
AUAUCCCUGCCCUGUGCGUGCUGGUCUGUUAUAAACCCACAUUUCCCAUAAGGGACGCCGGCACUCUUUCGGUGAAUUGCAGGCCUCCCGCGCGUUUUCUGCGCGCGGAAGUUGGAAGCAGAGAAGCCAAAAGGAGGCGACCCACCUGCCGUUUUGUGCAGGUUCUUUACGGGUCACACGGCAGGUGUGGGGCGGUC